rnacentral:rRNA from 1 species
UACGUAGGGUGCAAGCGUUGUCCGGAAUUAUUGGGCGUAAAGAGCUCGUAGGCGGUCUGUCGCGUCGGCUGUGAAAACCCGGGGCUCAACCCCGGGCCUGCAGUCGAUACGGGCAGACUAGAGUGCGGUAGGGGAGACUGGAAUUCCUGGUGUAGGCGGUGAAAUGCGCAGAUAUCAGGAGGAACACCGAUGGCGAAGGCAGGUCUCUGGGCAUUAACUGACGCUGAGGAGCGAAAGCAUGGGGAGCGAACAGGA